rnacentral:rRNA from 1 species
CGCUGGCGGCGUGCUUAAUACAUGCAAGUCAACUUGACUUUAGAUAAGCAAUAUCGAAAGUAGGGUGGCGCACGGGUGCGUAACGCGUAGGUAAUCUGCCCUGAGGUCUGACAUAACCCGUCGAAAGGCGGGCUAACAUCAGAUGAUAUAUAAUCACGACAUCGUGGAAAUAUCAAAUCUUCGGAGCCUUGGGAUGAGCCUGCGUCUGAUUAGGUAGUUGGCGGAGUAAUAGCCCACCAAGCCUACGAUCAGUAGCUGGUCUGAGAGGAUGAUCAGCCACACUGGAACUGAGACACGGUCCAGACUCCUACGGGAGGCAGCAGUAAGGAAUAUUGCUCAAUGGGGGAAACCCUGAAGCAGCAACGCCGCGUGAAGGAUGAAAUACUUUUGUAUGUAAACUUCUGUAAGAUGGGAAAAAUAUUCUCCUCGGGAGAAUUGAUUGUACCAUCAGAGUAAGCCCCGGCUAACUACGUG